UUUAAAACGUAUUUUGUCAUGGGGAACUCAAAUCAUAGGUAAUAGCUCAAAAGGGAAGAUAAAGUGUUGUUUUUUUUCUUCAAGUCGGAAAGCUUGCAAACUUCUAUCCAGCAAACUCUCUGCUGGACUACACUGGCUGAGCACUCGUGAUCCCAGAAACCAACAUCUGUGUGUCCUCCGUUUGUCAUCGGCCCGAACGAUAACUAGAUUUCUGAGAGAGAUAGACUGACAGUCAGGCAGAUGGAAGGAUUUGAACAGGCCUUACUUUCUUCAGAGUCCUCGUGUUGAUGUUGGGUUUCUGUAGUAUUCAGGUCAGAUUUUAUGAGCUGGACACAGUCUACACUUAACCACUGCAGUGCUUUACAGUGGCAGCUGAAACUGUAUACCGCCUUUAUUUUUGCCAUUUUGCAUUAUUUGUAAUAAAAAAUUAAAAAAAAUCACUUAACAUAGUUAGCAUUGUCACCAUAUGAA